rnacentral:lncRNA from 1 species
UUCGGAGUAGAGUCGUUCGUGGCCGAAAGAAGUCUAGGCUGAGAUUCGAAGAAUAGUCAAUCACUAUAGAAAAUCGACUGAUAGUGAAGCUCAGAGAGCGUUUGGAGCAGUCCUGUAAAUGAAUGGAGGAGCCCAUUAUUGGAGAAGUCCGGAUGGUAUUAUGGAAGCUCGGACGGUCAGGGGAGUUCGAAAAGAAGCCACACA